rnacentral:rRNA from 1 species
UACGUAGGGUCCGAGCGUUGUCCGGAAUUAUUGGGCGUAAAGGGCUCGUAGGCGGUUCGUCACGUCGGGAGUGAAAACUCGGAGCUUAACUCCGAGCCUGCUUCCGAUACGGGCAGACUAGAGGUAGGCAGGGGAGAGCGGAACUCCUGGUGUAGCGGUGGAAUGCGCAGAUAUCAGGAGGAACACCGGUGGCGAAGGCGGGUCUCUGGCAGUAACUGACGCUGAGGAGCGAAAGCGUGGGGAGCGAACAGG